UAGUACAUGCAAGUCGAACGGUGAUAGCAAUAUCAUAGUGGCGCACGGGUGCGUAACACGUAUGCAACCUACCUAUUAUUGGGGGAUAGCCUUUGGAAACGGAGAUUAAUACCGCAUAAUACGAUUGACUGGCAUCGGUUGAUUGUUAAAGCUUUGGCGAUAAUAGAUGGGCAUGCGUCCAAUUAGUUAGUUGGUUAGGUAACGGCUGACCAAGACGAUGAUUGGUAGGGGAUCUGAGAGGAUAAUCCCCCACACUGGCACUGAGAUACGGGCCAGACUCCUACGGGAGGCAGCAGUAGGGAAUAUUGGGCAAUGGCGCGGAAGCUGACCCAGCCAUGCCGCGUGCAGGAAGAAGGCGUUAUGCGUUGGUAAACUGCUUUUUUAAUAGGAAGGAAGGAUCCCUUGCCGAGGGAARGGUGACGGU
rnacentral:rRNA from 1 species